GAUGAACGCUGGCGGCGUGCCUAAUACAUGCAAGUCGAGCGAACAGACGAGGAGCUUGCUCCUCUGACGUUAGCGGCGGACGGGUGAGUAACACGUGGAUAACCUACCUAUAAGACUGGGAUAACUUCGGGAAACCGGAGCUAAUACCGGAUAAUAUAUUGAACCGCAUGGUUCAAUAGUGAAAGACGGUUUUGCUGUCACUUAUAGAUGGUUCCGCGCCGCAUUAGCUAGUUGGUAAGGUAACGGCUUACCAAGGCAACGAUGCGUAGCCGACCUGAGAGGGUGAUCGGCCACACUGGAACUGAGACACGGUCCAGACUCCUACGGGAGGCAGCAGUAGGGAAUCUUCCGCAAUGGGCGAAAGCUUGACGGAGCAACGCCGCGUGAGUGAUGAAGGUCUUCGGACCGUAAAACUCUGUUAUUAGGGAAGAACAAAUGUGUAAGUAACUAUGCACGUCUUGACGGUACCUAAUCAGAAAGCCACGGCUAACUACGUG
rnacentral:rRNA from 1 species